GCUCUCAGCUGACGGCGCAGCUCAGAUGGCCGUGAGCAGAUGAGCGGCACCGCUGUGUGUCUGCGUCUGGCCGCUAAUUAUCUGUGCGCUGAACGCGUCGGGGAUGUUAUCCUCGGUAAGUGCGCGCCGUUCACCUCGCCGGGCGCGCCGCUAAAUCGGCCCCACCGGGACCACAACUGGAGUAAAUAAAGCGCUCCGUCUUCGCGUCAGACCCUGCUCGGGGGCCUUGUCUUGGGCGAGGAAGGCGGCGGCCCGGAUACUUAUGAAUAAUUCAAUUAGACGUCGGUUGAAGCUGCAAGGAGCAGAAAAGGUACUUGACGGUGGAGUCGCUGUCUCUGCACGCUCUCCUGCUUCCAGAGAUGUUUAAUGAUGAUUUGUCUGAGGAUACUGGGACAAUGAAGCCCGUCUGCCUGUCUGUCUGUCUGUCUGACUGCCCACCUGACCGCCUGUCUGCCUGCACCAAACAAACAGGUGCUGUGUGACCUUGAAGGCGUCCUCCUCCUCCCUGAAGACGGGGUCCAGGCGGGCCAGAGGGCCGACGAACUCGGAGGCGCUGAGCGGUUUGGCGGCGAGCUGGGUCAGCCUGCGGGGGUGGAGCACGGCC